rnacentral:rRNA from 1 species
AGCGAAUAGAUACCCCGGUAGUCCAUGCCGUAAGCUAUGGAUACUAGCUGUUGGGGGUAUCGACCCCUCCAGUAGCGAAAGCUAACGCGUUAAGUAUCCCGCCUGUGGAGUGCGAUCGCAAGAUUAAAACAUAAAGGAAUUGACGGGGACCCGCACAAGCGGUGGAGCGUGUUCUUUAAUUCGAUGCUAAACGAAGAACCUUACCAGGGCUUGACAUCCCUUGAAUUACUCCGAAAGGAGUGAGUGCUUUAUUGAGCAAGGUGACAGGUGAUGCAUGGCCGUCGUCAGCUCGUGUCGUGAGAUGUUUGGUUAAAGUCCAUCAACGAGCGCAACCCUUAUACUUAGUUGUAUUUUUCUAGGUAGACUGCCCCGGU